rnacentral:rRNA from 1 species
CGGAGGGAUCAUUAAAGAGUUCUAUAACUCCCAAACCCAUGUGAACAUACCUAACGUUGCCUCGGCAGGUCGCACCUACCUUGUAGCACCCUACCCUGUAGGGCCUACCCGGGAGGUGCGGGUAAGCCUGCCGGCGGCCCACCAAACUCUGUUUGAUAUUGAAUUCUGAACCUAUAACUAAAUAAGUUAAAACUUUCAACAACGGAUCUCUUGGUUCUGGCAUCGAUGAAGAACGCAGCGAAAUGCGAUAAGUAAUGUGAAUUGCAGAAUUCAGUGAAUCAUCGAAUCUUUGAACGCAUAUUGCGCCCAUUAGUAUUCUAGUGGGCAGGACCGUUCGAGCGUCAUUUCAACCCUUAAGCCUUCGUUGCUUAGUGUUGGGAGCCUACGGCAACGUAGCUCCUCAAAGUUAGUGGCGGAGUUGGUUCACACUCUAGACGUAGUAAUUUUUUAUCUCGCCUAUUAGUUGGACUAAUCCCCUGCCGUAAAACCCCUAAUUUAUCAAGGUUGACCUCGAAUCGGUUCAGACAAACUCGCUAAAUUGAAGCAUCUUAGUCAGCGAAGGAAAAGAAACCAACAGGGAUUGCCCUAGUAACGGCGAGUGAAGCGGCAACAGCUCAAAUUUGAAAUCUGGCCCUCGG